AUGAACUGCUACCUAUGGCCGUGUGCUGCAAUCAAUUUCAUUAUCUCAGAUAACCAAUCGUACAAGAGGAUUCCUUUGACCAAUAACACCGGCGGAUUUUCUAGACUAGACCAAUCGUGUAUAGACUAGCCCCUGUGGUUACCUGUCUGAAACCCCAAAGUGUCGCGUCGUUCGUCUGCCAGCCGUCUGAUGUGACAGACACACCUCGCAACUGCCAUUACAAAAGGGCAGCACGACCGCUGUGAAUCCUUUGUACUUCAAGCCGUGUCUAACCCAAGACAACAGGAUCUUAUUGGUGCCAUCAAGACGGAUCAACUGCAGCUGCAAUGUUCAUGUUGGGACUUAUCCCGGUGAGAGGUUGUCCGAUGCCAUCUCCACGGCUAGCUGUACGGUGACGUCCAGGAGAUCGGUGCUCGUGUGAAAGCCCUGUCGGAGGACCCGAAACUAAGAUCUUAUUGGUACCAUCGAGCCCGGAUCAACCAGAGGACCUGAAACUAAGUUAAGUUGUUAUUUGUCUUAUGGGGCGUUAAAUGGAAACAUAUUGCAGAGAUGGGCUGGGACUAACUUGUCAUCGGCAUGAUAGGAAGUAAAUAAUUUGUGAGGUUACUUUAACUUUAAAAAAUCUCUUGGUUGAUGGUAAGGCGCUUGAGUGUGUUUUGUUGACAUCUCGAGUGAUGAUGCAGGUAGGGGUUUAUAUCAGGACAUUUUGUAAAUGGAAGCUCCUUUUGCACUCAGGUCUUCAGCCCGUUUCUGUAUUGUACAGGCCCGGUGUGUGGCUGAUUUGGUUUCUGUGACUGUGUCGAUGGCCGGGAUUGUAUUCGGCCAGUUACUGUAAAUUCUGUGUUUUUUUUUAAACAGGGACUUCCCUGAUUCACCAUCUGUUGUCAUUUCUGUUUUAUGUCGUGGUCAGUGGUUGUCGGGAACCUAGACCAUUACAUAAUCUGCCUUGUGUCGUUAUCUUGGGUCCCGAACCAAGAGAACGACACAGGUCAGAAAGGAAAACAGGUGACCGAAGAGCCUAUUUAAUAUCAAUAGCACUAGACUUCUCGGCGUCGACACAGUUACAGAAACCGAAUCAGCUAUUCAAUGGGCUUGUAUAAGGCAGAAACAGACUGAAGCCAUUACUCUCAAAAUUGUAACCAAAACAAACGGCAGCAUUACUUGGAAUUUCAGCAAAGCGCACUCUUGUGCUUUCCAUCAUUCAAGAGAUCAUGAUUAUUCCCGCUAUUUCUAUGUUAAACCAAGAACUGAAAUUACAAUCACAAAUCAAGUUAACUUCCUGUCAUGCCUCAUUCACAUAGCUAAGCUUACUUUAAGUAUUAGGUAUAGUCUUUACCAUAUUUCUUGGUGAAGUUUCAUUUUUGUCUCGUC